rnacentral:pre_miRNA from 1 species
UUAACUCGAAUUUGUAUGCAGUUGGAACAGCGGCAAACAUAGGCAAACGUUCCAACUCCAUACAAAUUUGAGUUA